rnacentral:rRNA from 1 species
CCUACGGGGGGCAGCAGUGGGGAAUUUUGGACAAUGGGCGCAAGCCUGAUCCAGCCAUGCCGCGUGUCUGAAGAAGGCCUUCGGGUUGUAAAGGACUUUUGUUAGGGAAGAAAAGGGAAGUGCUAAUACCACUUUUUGCUGACGGUACCUAAAGAAUAAGCACCGGCUAACUACGUGCCAGCAGCCGCGGUAAUACGUAGGGUGCGAGCGUUAAUCGGAAUUACUGGGCGUAAAGCGAGCGCAGACGGUUACUUAAGCAGGAUGUGAAAUCCCCGGGCUCAACUUGGGAACUGCGUUUUGAACUGGGUAGCUAGAGUAUGUCAGAGGGGGGUAGAAUUCCACGUGUAGCAGUGAAAUGCGUAGAGAUGUGGAGGAAUACCGAUGGCGAAGGCAGCCCCCUGGGAUAAUACUGACGUUCAUGCUCGAAAGCGUGGGUAGCAAACAGGAUUAGAUACCCUAGUAGUC